CCUACGGGAGGCAGCAGUGAGGAAUUUUCUGCAAUGGGCGAAAGCCUGACAGAGCAAUACCGCGUGAGGGAUGAAGACUUACUGAGUUGUAAACCUCGGUGCCUUAAGGAAGAAGAUCUGACGGUACUUAAGGUGGAAAGCAUCGGCUAACUCCGUGCCAGCAGCCGCGGUAAGACGGGGGAUGCAAGUGUUAUCCGGAAUUACUGGGCGUAAAGCGUCUGCAGGUGGUUUUAUAAGUCUGCUGUUAAAUCUUGAGGCUCAACCUCAAAUCUGCAGUGGAAACUAUAAGACUUGAGUAUAGUAGGGGUAGAGGGAAUUUCCAGUGGAGCGGUGAAAUGCGUAGAUAUUGGAAAGAACACCGAUGGCGAAGGCACUCUACUGGGCUAUUACUGACACUCAGAGACGAAAGCUAGGGGAGCAAAUGGGAUUAGAUACCCCAGUAGUCCUAGCCGUAAACGAUGGAUACUCGAUGUUGGACGUAUCGACCCGUUCAGUAUCUUAGCUAACGCGUUAAGUAUCCCGCCUGGGGAGUACGCUCGCAAGAGUGAAACUUAAAGGAAUUGACGG
rnacentral:rRNA from 1 species